rnacentral:lncRNA from 1 species
GGAGCUGGGUUCGAGCGCUGGGGCUGCGGUUGGGAAACUACUGGAGGAUGUGGUGCACCAGAAUAAGAGAAUAAACCAAGAAACAGGAAGACGUGAUCCAGGCAACAGGAUAUUCCAGUAUAGACACUCCAGGAAAAACAGAAUCUUUUAAUCAGCAAAAUCCAUCAUAUUACUUAAGUCACAGAUGCUCACCAAGGAGAAGAGGUCAUUCUGUAAUCCAAGUCGAUCCACAGGGGGCAGAGAAAGGUCACGAAUGCC